rnacentral:sRNA from 1 species
UACCAAAGAAGAUAACCAAUGUAAUGGAUUCUGCAGGGCAUGUGAAAAAGCAGGGUUUAAGUGUACAGUUACCAAGGAGGCUCAGGCUGUCCUUGCCUGUUUCCUGGAUAAACAUCAUGACAUUAUCAUCAUAGACCACAGAAAUCCUCGGCAGCUGGAUGCAGAGGCACUGUGCAGGUCUAUCAGAUCAUCAAAACUCUCAGAAAACACAGUUAUUGUUGGUGUAGUACGCAGGGUGGAUAGAGAAGAGUUGUCCGUAAUGCCUUUCAUUGCUGCUGGAUUUACAAGGAGGUAUGUAGAAAACCCCAACAUCAUGGCCUGCUACAAUGAACUGCUCCAGUUGGAGUUUGGAGAGGUGCGAUCACAACUGAAACUCAGAAAAAUUAGACACUAUGUGUCCAUUAUCAGAGUGUGCAAUGGCAACAAUAAGGCUGAGAAAAUAUCCGAAUGUGUUCAGUCUGACAGUCAUACAGAUAAUCAGACAGGCAAACAUAAAGACAGGAGAAAAGGCUCACUAGACGUCAAAGCUGUUGCCUCCCGUGCAACUGAAGUUUCCAGCCAGAGACGACACUCUU